AUUAGAGUUUGAUCCUGGCUCAGAUUGAACGCUGGCGGCAGGCUUAACACAUGCAAGUCGAGCGGUAACAGGGGGUGCUUGCACCCCGCUGACGAGCGGCGGACGGGUGAGUAAUGCUUAGGAAUCUGCCCAGUAGUGGGGGAUAGCCCGGGGAAACCCGGAUUAAUACCGCAUACGUCCUACGGGAGAAAGCAGGGGAUCUUCGGACCUUGCGCUAUUGGAUGAGCCUAAGUCGGAUUAGCUAGUUGGUGAGGUAAAGGCUCACCAAGGCCACGAUCCGUAGCUGGUUUGAGAGGAUGAUCAGCCACAUCGGGACUGAGACACGGCCCGAACUCCUACGGGAGGCAGCAGUGGGGAAUAUUGGACAAUGGGGGCAACCCUGAUCCAGCCAUGCCGCGUGUGUGAAGAAGGCUUUCGGGUUGUAAAGCACUUUCAGUGAGGAGGAAAACCUUACGACUAAUACUCGUGAGGCUUGACGUUACUCACAGAAGAAGCACCGGCUAACUCCGUGCCAGCAGCCGCGGUAAUACGGAGGGUGCAAGCGUUAAUCGGAAUUACUGGGCGUAAAGCGCGCGUAGGUGGUUCGAUAAGCGGGAUGUGAAAGCCCCGGGCUUAACCUGGGAACGGCAUUCCGAACUGUCGGGCUAGAGUAUGGUAGAGGGUAGUGGAAUUUCCUGUGUAGCGGUGAAAUGCGUAGAUAUAGGAAGGAACACCAGUGGCGAAGGCGGCUACCUGGACCAAUACUGACACUGAGGUGCGAAAGCGUGGGGAGCAAACAGGAUUAGAUACCCUGGUAGUCCACGCCGUAAACGAUGUCAACUAGCCGUUGGGACUCUUGAAGUCUUAGUGGCGCAGCUAACGCACUAAGUUGACCGCCUGGGGAGUACGGCCGCAAGGUUAAAACUCAAAUGAAUUGACGGGGGCCCGCACAAGCGGUGGAGCAUGUGGUUUAAUUCGACGCAACGCGAAGAACCUUACCUGGCCUUGACAUCCAGAGAACUUUCCAGAGAUGGAUUGGUGCCUUCGGGAACUCUGUGACAGGUGCUGCAUGGCCGUCGUCAGUUCGUGUCGUGAGAUGUUGGGUUAAGUCCCGUAACGAGCGCAACCCCUAUCCCUGGUUGCUAGCAGGUAAAGCUGAGAACUCCAGGGAGACUGCCGGUGACAAACCGGAGGAAGGUGGGGAUGACGUCAGGUCAUCAUGGCCCUUACGGCCAGGGCUACACACGUGCUACAAUGGUGCGUACAGAGGGCUGCAAACUCGCGAGAGUAAGCCAAUCCCUUAAAACGCAUCGUAGUCCGGAUCGGAGUCUGCAACUCGACUCCGUGAAGUCGGAAUCGCUAGUAAUCGCGAAUCAGAAUGUCGCGGUGAAUACGUUCCCGGGCCUUGUACACACCGCCCGUCACACCAUGGGAGUGGAUUGCACCAGAAGUGGUUAGUCUAACCUUCGGGAGGACGAUCACCACGGUGUGGUUCAUGACUGGGGUGAAGUCGUAACAAGGUAACCAAU
rnacentral:rRNA from 1 species